UACGUAGGGUGCAAGCGUUGUCCGGAAUUAUUGGGCGUAAAGAGCUCGUAGGCGGUUUGUUGCGUCGGCUGUGAAAUCCCGAGGCUCAACCUCGGGUCUGCAGUCGAUACGAGCAAACUAGAGUGUUGCAGGGGAGACUGGAAUUCCUGGUGUAGCGGUGAAAUGCGCAGAUAUCAGGAGGAACACCGGUGGCGAAGGCGGGUCUCUGGGCCGUAACUGACGCUGGAGGCGCGAAAGCGUGGGGAGCGAACAGG
rnacentral:rRNA from 1 species